ensembl:lncRNA
UUGGCGUCCCCUGCUCUGGUCACAGACAGGGUGGGGGCAGGGGAUCUGACCACACACCACCCCUCAGGACUCUUCAGCUUUUCGGCUCCUCCGCUCCUUCCCCCACAUUUCUGAGUCCCGUCAAGGUCCAGCUAAGCAGUGGGAUUCCCACUCUCGUUCACCACAAACUGGCAGGGACCUGUCAGCCCAGGGCCCAGGAAAAGCCUGCAGAUGCCGUCAGAGCAGCUGGAGCCCCCAAGCGCAAAGCCUUCUCCCCCAAACACUUCUUUCACUCGCUACUCGCACCCAUUUUUUAAAAUGUCAUUUACUACCUGGCAAUCUGUUUCCCAUUUUUUAAGAAAUUACUCAAGGCCUCCACCCCAGAGCCUGAUCCACAGUCCCGAGAUGGCACCUCCGCUAAAAGACCAAGACCGGGCCGGCGCAGGGCACCAAGAUGCGUCAAAGUCUGGGCCACCCAGGCUCCCCCCCAGGCUCCUGCCCGAGGGCCUACCGUGUGCCCUGGGCUCAGAAACUCGUGAACUCAUGCAUCUCCCAUGAGGAUUCUGCCAUCGAAAACCCGGGCUCAAAGUCCACCUUCCCUCUGUCCUCAAGAACCCCUGGGGCUGGGGCACCUGGAGCGGCCACUGCUUUGCAAUGAGCACCCUGCCGCCAGUCACACCAGAGGAGCCCUGGAACGUGAACCCCUUGGCCUUAGGUCUCUCGUCACCCCCGCCCAGGACUGCUUCUGGCCCUGCCUCUGCCCCCUGCUGAUCUGACAGUGACCUGGUCUGAAUGGAGCUGAAAGGCUCUGCAGUCCCCUGGGUGCUGGGAGAGGCCUGUUGACAAAGCCACCAGCUGUCCCCAGCCAGAGGGGGCCCCUCCCUGCACCACUCGCAGUACAAGAGCAUUCCUGCCACGGACACGGCCAGCGACAGAACUUGGAGCGUCACGAGUGCCAGGCCCAGGCUCCACUGCCCCCUAAGACGAGAGCCAGAGCAGAACCCCUUGGCCCGCGCCAGCGCCUGGCCGAAGGAGCAUCACCUGGGGAUGAGGGUGAGGAAACUAAGGCAAGGGCCGCUAAGGAAGGAGCCCAAGGUGACAGACACCCAGGUCAGCCUGACCCCCGACCCGGGGACUCCAAACGCUCUGGGCGAGGCGGCACCGCACCGAGUGUGAUGCGGCUUCUGAGCCGCGCGGCUCCUCCCGACCCGGAGGCUCGGACGUGCGCAAGAGCCCGGAGGCCGGUCCCCCGUCCCCGGGGCCCGGGCGGCCCCGUCCGCCCCCUCCUCACCCGCUCCCAGAGCGGCACAGGGCCGCGACCCAGCGGGGCUCUCCUGCCCGCAGGACCGGGGGGGAGGAGGAGGGGCGCCAGCGACCAGGCCAAUCUCGGCCGCGAGCAAACCGGUCCGGCCGCCUGCCCCCGCCCGCCGCGGCCCGGCCUCCACCCCUCCCGCCGCAGACAAAAGUUUGCCCUGUGCGGGGGCGGGGGCGGGGGCGCGGGCAUUCCUCGCGAGUGACAUUAUCCGUGACCUCCAGCUGCCGCGCUGCCCUCCCGGCACCCCGGGCCCCGCGGCCCCCGCCCGCUUUGUCCUCCCGCCCCGCGCGGGGCCCGGCCCGGCC